CUGCCCUUUGUUGUCUGAUAACCAGUGUCUUAUGUAUCAUUGUUUCAGAUUUUUUUUUUACAGCAGCAAGAGAGAAAUAAAAGAACAAUAGAUCUACAAAACAAUCAGAAAAUAACUAACAAAUUGGCAAUAAAGCAAGAGAGAAAUAAAAGAAUAAUAGAUCUACAAAACAAAGAAAAGACUCACAUAAAUAAAGAAGACAUUGCAACUGAUACCACAGAAGGAAUCAUGAACCUAUUAGGAACAAUUACAUGCCAACAAAUUAGAUAACCUAGAAAAAAUGGAUAAAUUUCUAGACAAAUUCAAUUGACCAAGACUAAACUAUGAAGAAGUAGAAAAUCUGCACAGACUAAUAAUGAGUAAGAAUAUUGAAUAAAUGAUAUAAUGUCUCCCAUUAAAGAAAAGCCCAGAAAAUGAUGGCUUCCCUGUUAAAUUCUACCAAAUAUUUAAAGAAUUAGCACCAAAUAUUCUCAUUUUUUCCCAAAAAUUGAAGAGGAGAGAAUACUUUCAAAUUUAUUUUUCGCAGCCAAUAUUACCCUAUUAUCAAAGCCAGACAAGAACACCACAGGAAAAGAAAGUGCAGGCAAUAUCCUUGAGGAACAUAGAUGCAAAAAUUCUCAAUAAAAUACUAGUAAACAAAAUUCAAGAGCACAUUAAAAAGACAAUUCAUGAUAAUCAAGUGGGACUUAUCCCUGGGAUGCAAGGAUUGUUUGGCUUAUGCAAAGCUAUAAAUGUGAUACCACAUUAACAAAUAAAGGGCAAAAAAAAAUCAUCUCAAUAAAUGCAGAAAAAAAAGCACAAUUCAACAUCCUUUUAUGCUUAAAAGCUCUCAACAAAUUAGCUAUAGAAGAAAUGUACUUCAAUGCAAUAAAAGCCAUAUAUGAAAAGCCCACAGCUAACAUGAUACUCAAUGGUGAAAAGUUGAAAACGUUUCUUCCAAGAUCAGGAACAAGACAAGGAUGCCCACUCUUGCCAUUUCUAUUCAACAUAGUACUGGGAGUGGUAGCCAGAGCAAUUAGACAAGAGAAAUAAAUGAAACAUAUCCAAAUUAGAAAGGAGGAAGUUAAAUUGUCCCUGUUUGCAAGUGAAAUAACCUGAUAUAUGGAAAAUCCUAAAGACUCCACCAAAAAGCUGUUCAAACUAAUAAAAGAAUUCAGUAAAGUGGCAGGAUGCAAAAUUAACAUGAAAAAUCUGUAGCACUUCUAUACACUAGCAAUAAACUAUCUAAAAAGUAAAAUCAUGAAAACAAUCCCAUUUAUAGUAGCUACACAUGCAUGCACAUGAAAGCACACACACACACAAACAAGGAACAAGACAAGGGUGCCCAUUCUUGCCAUUUCUAUUCAACAUAGUACUGGAAAUAGUAGCCAGAGCAAUUAGACAAGAGAAAUGAAUGAAACGUAUCCAAAUUAGAAAGGAAAAAGUUAAAUUGUCCCUGUUUGCAGGUGAAAUAACCUGAAAUAUAGAAAAUCCUAAAGACUCCACCAAAAAGCUGUUUGAACUAAUAAUAGAAUUCAGUAAAGUGGCAGGAUGCAAAAUUAACAUGAAAAAUCAGUAGCACUUCUAUACACUAGCAAUAAACUAUCUAAAAAGUAAAUCAUGAAAACAAUCCCAUUUAUAGUAGCUACACAUGCAUGCACAUGCAAGCGCACACACACACAAACACCUGGGUACAAAUUUAGCCAAAGAGGUGAAAAACAUAUAAACUGAAAACUAUAAGACAUUGAAAGAAAUUGAAGAAGAUAAAUAAAUGCAAAGAUAUACCAUGUUCAUGGAUUAGAAAAAUUAUUAUUGUUAAAAUGUGUAUACUACUGAAAGCAAUCUACAGAAUCAAUGCAAUCUCUAUCAAAAUUACAAUGACAUUUUUCACAUAAAUAGAAAAAACAAUUAUAAAAUUUUUAUGGAACCACAAAAGGCCUUGAACAAUAAAAAAAUCUUGAGCAAAAAGAAUAAAGAUUGAGGCAUCACACUAUCUCACUUCAAAAUAUCCUACAAAGCUGUAGUAAUCAAAAGAUCAUAGUAUUAGCAUUAAAAACAGACACAUAGACCAGUGCAACAGAAUAGAGAGCCCAGAAGCAAACCCACGCAUUUACAGUCAAUUGACUUUUCAACAAAGGAGCCAAGAACAUACAAUAGGGAAAGGACAAUCUCUUCAAUAAAUGAUGUUGAGACAAUUGGAUAUCCACAUGCAGAAGAAUGAAAUUAGACCAUCACCUCACACCAUAUACAAAAAUCAUGUAAAAAUGGUUUAAAGACUUAAAGACCUGAAACUGUACAACUACUAGCUAAAAGCAUAUGGACAAAACUCUACAACAUUGGUGUGAGCAAUAAUUUUUUGGAUAUGACCUCAAAACUGUAGGCAAAAAUAGACAAAUGGGAUUACAGGAAGUUAAAAAGUUUCUGCAUGGCAAAGGCAACAGGCAACAGAGAAAAAGAUAACCUAUGAAAUGGAAGAAAAUAUAUGCAAACCGUACAUCUGAUAAGGAGUUAAUAUCCAAAAUAUAUAAAAAACUGAAAUAAUAUAAGGAAGACAAAUGGCCUCAUUUAAGAAUAGGCAAAGGACCUGAAGACAUUUUUCAAAAGAGGACAUACAAAUGGCUAACAUGAAUAUGAAUAAAUGCUCAACAUCACUAAUCAUCAAGAAAAUGCAAACUAAAACUACAAUGAGAUAUCACCUCUCACUUGUUAGAAUGGCUAUUAUCAAAUAGACAAAAUAUAACUAGUACUGUUGAGAAUGUGGAGAAUAGGUGACUCUCUCACAGUGUUGGUGAGACUAUGUACACCAGACCAUGUAACUGAAAUUACUUCAGCCACAAUGGAAAGCAAUAUGAAGGUUCCUUUAAAAAUUAAAAUUAGAAUAACCAUAUGAUCCAGCAAUCCCUCCACUGGGUAUGUAUGAAAUUAAAUCACGAAUCAAAAAGGAAACUAAAUCGGUGUGUAUAGCUACACUGUCAUGUUCUUUGCAGCAUUAUUCACAAUAGCCAAGGUAAAGAAUCAAACUAAAAAUGUCCAUCAAGAGAUGAAUGAAUAAAGAAAAUAUAGUAUAUAUACAGAAUAAAAUACUGUUCAACCUUAAAAAUCAAGGAAAUCCUGUUUUGACAAGAUGUAUGAAUCUAGAAGACAUUAUGUUAAGUGAAAUAAGCCAGAUACAGAAGGACAAAUACCACAUGAUCUCAUUUACAGGUGGAAUCUUAAAAAGUUAAACUCAUAGAAGCAGAAAGUAGAAUGGUGGUUACCAGGGACUGAGUUUUGGGGUGGUUGGAAAGAUGCUGGUCAAAGAAUAUAAAAUUUCAGAUAGACGGGAGGAAUAAGUUCAAGAGCUCUUUUAUGCAACAUGGUGACUAUAGUUAAUAACAAUGUACUGUAUUCUUGGAAAAUUAGUAAAAGAACAGAUUUUAAGUGUUCUUACCAUAAAAAAUGAUAUAUAAGUUAAUGUUUAGGUUGCUCUGUCUAUGGAGUAGCCAUUCUUUUGUUUCUUCACUUCUCUAAUAAACUUGCUUUCACUUAAAAAAAAAGUUAAUGCUUACGUUAAUUAGAUCAAAGUAACCAUUCUGCAAUGUAUGCAUAUUUCAAAGCAUCAUGUUGUAAAUGACAAAUAUAUAUACUUUGUAUUUGUCAAUUUAAAAAAAUAAUUAAUUAAUUUUAAAAAAGAGAAACUGGCAGGACAUCCAGAAUCCUUCCUUUGUUUGUGUACUAGACCAAAUUCCCAGAAGAACUGUAGAGAUUUAAUAAAGGAUAUCUGAAUAAAGUUGGAGAUGGAACUACUGUACUAAACAUAGGGAUGUUAAGAAAACUAGAAGUAUUUGGGAGUACUGAGGAUAAUUGGGAUUUUUGUACUCUUAACUAACCUCACUGUUGCUUUCUCUCAUCUGUGCCAAAGCAUUAGCCAGCCUUUACAUCAUUUUUAUGUGUAAAAAUUAUGUACUGCUGAAAUAAUAGUGCAUAUUUAUUAAGUUUUUAUUAUUACAUGACUUUUUAUAUUAAAGGUGAUAACUACUUCAUUAUUUUAAAAUCUGCUUACCUAUUUAUCACUGAUUCUUUUUUGAAAAUGUUCUCACAGAUAUGUCAAACAUUAGGCAACACUAUUCCAAAGGCUCAAUUACUUCAAAUCAUCUAUCAAUCCCCUGGUGUUCCAUUUUUGUUUUGUUUGCUUGUUCUAAUUGAAGAUCUGACUCUGACAGAUCUUUAUUUCUUGCUUCAAUCUAGACUAUUAGGUUUUUAGGGUUAAGUCACAGUAGUCAUGCUGGAAUGUCCCUUUUUUCCUCUCUUGUAUAGAAGACAAAGUUUCUCAAAUCCCCUGUCUCCCUUGUUCCUGAUUUACUACUUCAUUUUUCAUGAAUUAUAUAUCGUGGUAGCUUCCAAGGAAAGAGUAAUAGGAAGCAUGUUUUUGUGAAUUAUUGCAGAUCUGAAAAUGUCUUUAUUCAAUCCUCACAUUUCAGUGAUACUAUACCUUGCUUGGGUAUAAAAUUAUAGGCUGAAAAUAAUUUUCAAUCAGAAUUUUUAAUACUAUUGUUAUAUAUCUUUCGGUUUUUCGUGUUACUAGUCUAAUAUUUAUGUUGUGAGUUUUAAAAAAUCUGCCCUUUAAACCCCGGUCUCCUGAAACUUCAUGAUAAUAUGCCUUUGAAUAUUAUAUUAUUUCAUUAAUUUUUUCUGGGAAUUCAAUGGGAUCUUUUAAGUUAAAGACAUAAGCCCUUACACUUUGGAGAUAUUUUUGAUCAUAUCUUGAUCAUUUUCUUUCCUCUUUUUAUACUCUCUUUCUCUCUCUAAAAUUUGUACUUGUUGGAUGUCGAACCACCUACAUUAAUCUAUAUUUAUAAUUUCUUUGUUCUUAUUUUCCACAUAGUUUAUAGAUUUUCCUGACUUCUAAUGAUUUAUUUUUUACUGUAAUUUACUCUAUUUUGCAGUGCCCUUUUUUCUCUGAUUGCUUUUUAAAAAUAGUUCCCUCUUCUUGUUUUAUAUAUGUAUUAUUUGACCUGUUCAUAUGUUUUAAUUGGGUCCCAUUUUCAUAAAUAUUUUAGUCACUCUUUGUCAUGAGAAAGAAUUUUGUAUCACAUACAUUACCUCUUCAGGAAACAUCUGUAUAUACUAUCAAAUUACAAAACACUUACUAGAAGCUCUGGGUGGUGGGGGAGAUGCUUGAGGUGUAGGACAAGGUCCAACUAGUUGACUUUACUUAGAGUGAACUCCUAUACAUCUCAAGCAACUCCUAAAUCUCUAGAGGUCUAUAUCUGGGGCCUUUCAAAAACAAUUUUUACACAGAUUAUCCUCCAAUUUUCUUCAGGAAAAAUUAAACAUGGCAAUAAGUAUUCUCAAAACAGAGCAGAGGAAAGGGCUGUGGGUAGUAUAGGGGAUGUGUGUAGAACAAUUUAAUCACCUUGUUCUACCCUAAACCAAUUUCUUGGUGUUCACUGCUUCCUGAAUCAACUUCUCCAGAGACUAGACUUCUCUUUUCUCUUAGUGUGUAUUUGUGGAGGGGUAAAGAGAUUCUCAAACAGUCUCUGAGUGUUCAGUCUUAAACUGACUUCUGCUUUCCAGGUAACCUGUUUCCCCACAAUCAGAGACUCUCAGGGGAUUUGUGAGAUACUAAAUGAACAUGAUGCAAAAUGAACAACACAUAAGUUUCUGAGAGAAAAGUCCUCAUGCUGAGAAAGUUAAGAAAUCCUUAGUAACACGGGGUUCUGAGUGAAGAAUUACUAAAGGAGAUUCUAGAAAUCCUUGGUAGAAUCUGAACUGUCAAAGGACUAAAUUGAACAAUUACUGCUCUCCCACUAUUGCAAAGCCAUUUCCUAUAGUUGCUGCCACAAGCUAGAACUUCAUCCUGGGCAUGAUUCAACCCCUAAUUUGCAAAUUUAUAACAGCUCUUGGCUACUAAGCAUGGUUUUCUUCUAUAGACCAUACUUCAAUAAAAUACUGUUACAAAUAACAGAUGGACAAUGCAUUCAUUUGUAGAUGGUUCCUUGUAAUAAUAAUUUAUUAACUUUUUUCUUUCUUAGGGCAGAAGUAGCAAACAUUAAACUAAAUUGCCUAUAGCAUAAAUGGAAGGAACUUUUUAAGCAGGUGGGAAUUUAUUUAGACUUCUUCAUUUAAUGUGGC
rnacentral:lncRNA from 1 species